GUAAGGAAUAUUGGUCAAUGGACGCAAGUCUGAACCAGCCAUGCCGCGUGGAGGAUGAAGGUCCUCUGGAUUGUAAACUUCUUUUAUCUGGGAAGAAACCCAUGUUUUCUAAUGUGGUUGACGGUACCAGAUGAAUAAGCACCGGCUAACUCCGUGCCAGCAGCCGCGGUAAUACGGAGGGUGCAAGCGUUAUCCGGAUUCACUGGGUUUAAAGGGUGCGUAGGCGGGUUGGUAAGUCCGUGGUGAAAUCCCCAAGCUUAACUUGGGAACUGCCGUGGAUACUAUCAAUCUUGAAUAUCGUGGAGGUAAGCGGAAUAUGUCAUGUAGCGGUGAAAUGCUUAGAUAUGACAUAGAACACCAAUUGCGUAGGCAGCUUACUACACGAUCAUUGACGCUGAGGCACGAAAGCGUGGGGAGCAAACAGGAUUAGAUACCCUUGUAGUCC
rnacentral:rRNA from 1 species